rnacentral:rRNA from 1 species
AGAGUUUGAUCAUGGCUCAGAGCGAACGCUGGCGGCAGGCCUAACACAUGCAAGUCGAGCGGCCGUAGCAAUACGGCAGCGGCAGACGGGAGAGUAACACGUGGGAACGUGCCCUUUGGUUCGGAACAACACAGGGAAACUUGUGCUAAUACCGGAUACGCCCUUACGGGGAAAGAUUUAUCGCCGAAAGAUCGGCCCGCGUCUGAUUAGCUAGUUGGUGUGGUAACGGCGCACCAAGGCGACGAUCAGUAGCUGGUCUGAGAGGAUGAUCAGCCACAUUGGGACUGAGACACGGCCCAAACUCCUACGGGAGGCAGCAGUGGGGAAUAUUGGACAAUGGGCGCAAGCCUGAUCCAGCCAUGCCGCGUGAGUGAUGAAGGCCCUAGGGUUGUAAAGCUCUUUUGUGCGGGAAGAUAAUGACGGUACCGCAAGAAUAAGCCCCGGCUAACUUCGUGCCAGCAGCCGCGGUAAUACGAAGGGGGCUAGCGUUGCUCGGAAUCACUGGGCGUAAAGGGUGCGUAGGCGGGUCUUUAAGUCAGGGGUGAAAUCCUGGAGCUCAACUCCAGAACUGCCUUUGAUACUGAGGAUCUUGAGUUCGGGAGAGGUGAGUGGAACUGCGAGUGUAGAGGUGAAAUUCGCAGAUAUUCGCAAGAACACCAGUGGCGAAGGNNGGCUCACUGGCCCGAUACUGACGCUGAGGCACGAAAGCGUGGGGAGCAAACAGGAUUAGAUACCCUAGUAGUCC